CUUCUCCGUUUUUUUAUUUCCUUUUUUUAAGGUGGGAAAACUGAAACCCACCUCGAUUUCGUCCCCUCUUCCCCCUCCCCACCUUCCCUCGCCCUAAGCCCUGACAAGGAAGGAAGAAGCAGUUGGUUCAAUUUCUGGUAAUCUAUGCCAGCAAUUAUGACAAUGUUAGCAGACCAUGCAGCUCGUCAGCUGCUUGAUUUCAGCCAAAAACUGGAUAUCAACCUUUUAGACAAUGUGGUGAAUUGCUUAUACCAUGGAGAAGGAGCCCAGCAAAGAAUGGCUCAAGAAGUCCUGACACAUUUAAAGGAGCAUCCUGAUGCAUGGACAAGAGUCGACACAAUUUUGGAAUUUUCACAGAAUAUGAACACCAAAGUAAGCAAGCGGUGGUUUUAAAACUCC